rnacentral:lncRNA from 1 species
AUCUUGAAAACGGAAAAUAAAAACAGCAGACCUAUGAAGGUCGAAGGGGAAGAAAAGCUGUAUCGAUUGUUGAGAUCUGGCGACUUGUUUAAAUUUCAUCAGCCUCACUUCUAUGAACUCUCAGGGUCCUCGUAAGAACUUCCAUUUUAUGUUCUUGUCUUCUCAUCAGUUUGAGUUGUGUCUUUAACAUUGGAGAGAAAAACAACUUGCAAGAUUUUCUUUCAGUAUGAACCAUUCUGAGGUCCUUCAAUUCUUUAGCUGAUUACCAACUCCUACCACUGUUAACCCUCAUCCAGGAACAAGCUUAUGUCUUUAACAUUCUGAGUGGGCUUCAGCAUCCUUGCAUAUGUUCAAUUCUUAAAAACCUGUUGAAAUAAAAGAUCAGGAGACAUAGGAAGGAUGCCAGAAGAGAGCGUGGCCUCACGUGUACCAGCUCUCUGCUCUCCUUUGCCUUGGGACGUUCCAUCCCUGGAAGUUUCCCUGCCCACAUCUUUGUAGAGAGUCCAUUCUCCAAGCUUCAGUGUGUCAUCUGUGAGGACCGUGACCCACCUGGUACAUCGCCUCAGGGCAUUCAUUUCAGGCUCCUUCUAAAUGGCCAAGUUUUCAAGAUUGUUUUGGCUCUAGCAAAACAAGUUGGAACAUUCACAUCAUCCAUCUUCUGCCAGCCUAACAAGCAUAGCAAGAAGAUAUAGCCCCACAACCACUUUAUGCACAAAGUUAGAAGCAUAAAAUCUCAUGGAAGGAGACCGAUUAUCUACAGAAGAGGUUGUCUUGCCAUUUCUCUCAUGUUAGAGGUAAACCUCAGGUUCUCCUCCUGCCUUUUGCUAAGUAUAUGUCUUGAUGACAAGCCUUCUGCUGAUGAGCUGUGUUUCUGGACCGAUC